rnacentral:misc_RNA from 1 species
UCAAACUUGGUCAUUUAGAGGAAGUAAAAGUCGUAACAAGGUUUCCGUAGGUGAACCUGCGGAAGGAUCAUUAUUAUUUGGAUAGGGUUAACAUUGAUUUCGUCCUUUUUGUAUUCAGUCAGUGGUAACCUCUUCCAAAUAUUUUAUAUUUGUUACUCUUUUUUUUUAAAAAAAGGAGCAAGAUGAUAUAUAUUUAAAACCCAACUCAUAAAAUUAUGUAUAUUUUGAAUGAUAAAAUUAAAAAGAUCACUUUCAACAACGGAUCUCUUGGCUCUCGCAUCGAUGAAGAACGCAGC